AGAUUGAACGCUGGCGGCAUGCCUAACACAUGCAAGUCGAACGGCAACAUGGUCUAGCUUGCUAGGCUGAUGGCGAGUGGCGAACGGGUGAGUAACGCGUAGGAAUAUACCUUAAAGUGGGGGACAACUUGGGGAAACUCAAGCUAAUACCGCAUAAUCUCUGAGGAGAGAAGCUGGGGACCCGUAAGGCCUGGCGCUUUAAGAUUAGCCUGCGUCCGAUUAGCUAGUUGGUAGGGUAAAGGCCUACCAAGGCGACGAUCGGUA
rnacentral:rRNA from 1 species